GUGAGGAAUAUUGCGCAAUGGAGGCAACUCUGACGCAGCCAUGCCGCGUGCAGGAAGAAGGCGCUACGCGUUGUAAACUGCUUUUAACCGGGAAGAAACCCCAGGACGUGUCCUGGGUUGACGGUACCGGAGGAAUAAGCACCGGCUAACUUCGUGCCAGCAGCCGCGGUAAUACGAAGGGUGCAAGCGUUAUCCGGAUUCAUUGGGUUUAAAGGGUGCGUAGGCGAAGCGUUAAGUCAGUGGUGAAAUCCUGCAGCUUAACUGUAGACUUGCCAAUGAUACUGGAGCUAUUGAGUGCGCUUGAAGUGGGCGGAAUGUGCAGUGUAGCGGUGAAAUGCUUAGAUAUGGCACAGAACACCAAUUGCGAAGGCAGCUCACUAAGGCGAUACUGACGCUGAGGCACGAAAGCGUGGGGAUCGAACAGGAUUAGAUACCCCAGUAGUCC
rnacentral:rRNA from 1 species